GCGAUAUUUGCUUCUCUCUUCCACGCAGUCGUCGCCAGUGCAUCGUGUAUAUAAGGGACGAGGAGACGCCAGAGCUGCAUCAGUCGUCAUGGCAGCCUCCACCAAGUCUCUCUUGCUCCUCUGUCUCGCUCUCGUGGUUGUGACCACGAUGGCGCAGGAACCUGCAGGCGUCCCAGCUGUCCCUAGCGGAGAUGCCGCCAGCAACCAGGAGCCGGUACAGCCGGUGGUGGGCGACGGAGCUGCUGGGGACCAGGCGCUACAAGACCGCUGGGGAGGGUCUAUAUCCUUCCACACUGGCUGAGCGGACUGCUGACAGAUUCCAGAAAUAGGAAGCUCUACUUUGUUAUAAACCUUUCUUUUUUUGCGAAUUAGACAUUUAAAAUACUUCCCCUAUUUCUAUAUUAUGAGCUAACUUUUCGUUUUUCAAAACUGUAAACGAAAAUGUAUUACACAGGAAUUAAUAAAUUUUAGAAUUCAAAAAAGUACUAUUGACUUCGUUUAGCUACUCAAUGGUUUGCCGAUUUAAGUGUUAUCCAAAGAGGAAAAUUCUAGAAUAAUGUUUCCUAAACAACUUUAUUUAUUUUUUGGUUUCUGUUUGGUCUCUCAACGAGCAAUAAAAAAGACUGAACAUACCCUAAGCAUUCACUGAUGGAGAUGGGAAAUUAUAUAAAAUAACACUCCAGUCUGACAUCUACACAAAUGUAAAGGUAAAUGUUUGCGUUCACAUCUCCAACAGUUCUUCACCGAUUGCUUUGAAAUUUUGACACAACGUUGCAUUGGAACAGGAGCAUGUUUCUGUAUACCUACUGGAGCGCUGUAUGUUACACAAAUACAUAUAUAAUAAUAAAGGCGAUACAUUAUUU